GAGUUUGAUCGUGGCUCAGAUUGAACGCUGGCGGCAUGCCUUACACAUGCAAGUCGAACGGCAGCAUGAUCUAGCUUGCUAGAUUGAUGGCGAGUGGCGAACGGGUGGGUAAUACAUCGGAACGUGCCCUGUAGUGGGGGAUAACUAGUCGAAAGAUUAGCUAAUACCGCAUACGACCUGAGGGUGAAAGUGGGGGACCGCAAGGCCUCAUGCUAUAGGAGCGGCCGAUGUCUGAUUAGCUAGUUGGUGGGGUAAAGGCCCACCAAGGCGACGAUCAGUAGCUGGUCUGAGAGGACGAUCAGCCACACUGGGACUGAGACACGGCCCAGACUCCUACGGGAGGCAGCAGUGGGGAAUUUUGGACAAUGGGCGAAAGCCUGAUCCAGCAUGCCGCGUGUGUG
rnacentral:rRNA from 1 species